rnacentral:rRNA from 1 species
GCUUGCUCUCUUGGCGGCGAGUGGCGGACGGGUGAGUAAUAUAUCGGAACGUGCCCAGUAGCGGGGGAUAACUACUCGAAAGAGUGGCUAAUACCGCAUACGCCCUACGGGGGAAAGGGGGGGAUCGCAAGACCUCUCACUAUUGGAGCGGCCGAUAUCGGAUUAGCUAGUUGGUGGGGUAAAGGCUCACCAAGGCAACGAUCCGUAGCUGGUUUGAGAGGACGACCAGCCACACUGGGACUGAGACACGGCCCAGACUCCUACGGGAGGCAGCAGUGGGGAAUUUUGGACAAUGGGGGAAACCCUGAUCCAGCCAUCCCGCGUGUAUGAUGAAGGCCUUCGGGUUGUAAAGUACUUUUGGCAGAGAAGAAAAGGUAUCUCCUAAUACGAGAUACUGCUGACGGUAUCUGCAGAAUAAGCACCGGCUAACUACGUGCCAGCAGCCGCGGUAAUACGUAGGGUGCAAGCGUUAAUCGGAAUUACUGGGCGUAAAGCGUGUGUAGGCGGUUCGGAAAGAAAGAUGUGAAAUCCCAGGGCUCAACCUUGGAACUGCAUUUUUAACUGCCGAGCUAGAGUAUGUCAGAGGGGGGUAGAAUUCCACGUGUAGCAGUGAAAUGCGU